AUUGAACGCUGGCGGCAUGCCUAACACAUGCAAGUCGAACGAGCGGCGGACGGGUGAGUAAUGUAUGGGAAUCUGCCCGAUAGCGGGGGAUAACUACUGGAAACGGUGGCUAAUACCGCAUACUCUCGGAUCAACCCAUAUGGGAUUAGCUAGUUGGUGGGGUAAAGGCUCACCUAGGCGACGAUCCAUAGCUGGUCUGAGAGGAUGAUCAGCCACACUGGGACUGAGACACGGCCCAGACUCCUACGGGAGGCAGCAGUGGGGAAUAUUGGACAAUGGGCGAAAGCCUGAUGCAGCAAUGCCGCGUGUAUGAAGAAGGCCUUCGGGUUGUAAAGUACUUUGAGCGGAGAGGCGUUACCCGCAGAAGAAGCACCGGCUAACUCCGUGCCAGCAGCCGCGGUAAUAC
rnacentral:rRNA from 1 species